AGUGAACGCUGGCGGUAGGCCUAACACAUGCAAGUCGAACGGCAGCACAGUAAGAGCUUGCGCUUACGGGUGGCGAGUGGCGGACGGGUGAGGAGUACAUCGGAAUCUACUCUUUCGGGGGGGAUAACGUAGGGAAACUUACGCUAAUACCGCAUACGACCUACGGGGGAAAGCAGGGGAUCUUCUGACCUUGCGCGAUUGAAUGAGCCGAUGUCGGUUUAGCUAGUUGGCGGGGGAAAGGCCCACCAAGGCGAUGAUCCGCAGCUGGUCUGAGAGGAUGAUCGGCCACACUGGAACUGAGCCACGGUCCCGACUCCUACGGGAGGCCGCAGUGGGGAAUAUUGGACAAUGGGCGCAAGCCUUAUCCAGCCAUACCGCGUGGGUGAAGAAGGCCUUCGGGUUGUAAAGCCCUUUUGUUGGUAAAGAAAAGCAGCAGGUUAAGACCCAGCUGUUCUGACGGUACCGAAAGAAUAAGCACCGGCUAACUUCGUG
rnacentral:rRNA from 1 species